GAGAAUUGAAAUCCCAAUCCAUAUUGUUCCUCAUGUCACCAUUGGGAAAGUGUGCCUUGAAUCAGCAGUAGAGCUGCCCAAGAUUCUGUGCCAGGAAGAACAGGACGCAUAUAGGAGGAUUCACAGCCUUACACAUCUGGACUCAGUAACCAAGAUUCACAAUGGCUCAGUGUUUACCAAGAAUCUGUGCAGUCAGAUGUCAGCAGUCAGUGGACCUCUCCUACAGUGGUUGGAGGACAGACUGGAGCAAAACCAACAGCAUUUACAAGAGUUACAGCAAGAAAAGGAAGAGCUUAUGGAAGAACUUUCCUCCUUAGAAUAAAGCAGAACACAAAAUGGGGACAGAUGAAAAUACCCAGCACAAAAUUAAUUAAGCUGAAUCAAUUUUGAUGAACAAAAAGUUGGAGGGCUCACAUUACCCAACUUCAAGACUUACCAUAAAGUUAAAGUAAUCAGGUGUUGCAGAGGGUUAGACACAUAGUUCAAUGGAACAGAAAUGAGAACCCAGAUAUAGACCCAUAUAAAUAUACCCAACUAAUGGAAUAACUUAAUUGGAUAAAAACAAUUCAAUGGAGAAAGGGUAGCCUUUUUAACAAAUCAUGCUGAAGCAAUUAAGUACCCAUAAGUAAAAAAAAAGAACCUCCAACUUAAACAUCACAUCUUCUAUGAAAGUUACCUCAAAAUGUACCAUGGAUUAAAAUGUAAAGUAUAAAACUUUUUUUAAAAUAUCAUAGGAGAAAAAUCUCCGGGAGACAAGUUCUUGGAUACACAAUUUGUAAGGAAAAAAAAGUUUGUAAAUUGGGCUUCAUCAAAAUUAAAAUCUUUUAUUUAGAAAAAAAAAGAAGAACAAGAAAAGACAUGCUACAGACUGAGAGAAAUUAUUUACAAACCAUAUAGUAUCUGAUCAAUGUGGAAAGCAGAAGGUUCUCAAAACUCAACAAUAAGAACCAAUCCAAUUAGGAAAUGAGCAAAAGAUGUGUGUGAGUAGACAUUUCAAUGAAGAGGAUAUAUAUCGCAAGUAAUCACAUGAGAUUUCAUAAGUCAUAAGGAAUGCAAAUUAAAACCAUAAUGAGAUAUGACUUACGUACUUAUCAUAAUGGCUAUAGUGAAAAUACCAAAUACUAUGGAGGAUACAAAAUAAUUUUUCAUACAUUGGUGAAAGGAAUGUAAAAUAGUACAUCCACUCUGGAGAAGAGUUUGGAAAUUUCUUAUGAAGUUAAACAACCUGGCAGUUGCACUCCAGGACAUGUAUGCCAGAAAAAUGAAAACCUGUGGUUGCUCAAAAUUUUUCAUAGCAGCUUUAUUUCUAAUAGCAAGAACCUGGAAACAAAGCAGAUGUCCUGCAGUGGGUAAAUGGUUAAAUUAUCCUACCAUGCAAUACUACUCUGCAAUGAAAAAGAACAGACUGCUAAUACAUACAACUUAGGUGGACCUGGGGGUUAUUAUGGUAAGUGAAAAAAAAGUCAACCUGAAAAGGUCACAUACUGUAUGAUUGCAUUUAUAUAACAUUAUUGAAAUAGAAAAUUGUAGGAAUUAAGAACACAUUCAUGGUUGCCAGGGACAGGAUGGGGUGUGGCAUAUGUAUAACUAUGUAUGGAUGAUGCAAAGAGUUCCUUUGUGCUGAUGAAAUAGUCUUAUUUCUUGAUUGUAGUAUUGAGUAUGUGAAUCGAUACCUGUGUUAAAAUUGUAUAGAUCAAUAUGUACACAAAUGAAGCAUGUAAAAUCUGGUGAAACUGAAUAAAGUCUGUAGUCUGCUUAGCAGUAUUAUACCAUGUACUAAUUUCACAAU